rnacentral:rRNA from 1 species
GUAGGCAGCAAACGUUGUUCGGAAUUACUGGGCGUAAAGAGUGUGUAGGCGGUUUUGUAAGUUUGGUGUGAAAUCUCCCGGCUUAACUGGGAGGGUGCGCCGAAAACUGCAAGGCUUGAGUGCUGGAGAGGAGAGCGGAAUUCCUGGUGUAGCGGUGAAAUGCGUAGAUAUCAGGAGGAACACCGGCGGUGUAGGCGGCUCUCUGGACAGUAACUGACGCUGAGACACGAAAGCGUGGGGAGCAAACAGGAUUAGAUACCCUGGUAGUCCACGCCCUAAACGAUGCAUACUUGGUGUGAGCCAUUCAUUUGGUUCGUGCCGGAGCUAACGCGUUAAGUACGCCGCCUGGGGAGUACGGUCGCAA